UGAUAUUGACGUACAGUACAUUAACAUAGCGUUCUCAGACUUUUAAUGUGCCCAAAUUUUCAUUUAAACUUUUAUGCAUUCGUUUAGUUUGAGAAAGUAUCGCUUUAACAUUGUGUACAUAGCGUGCGCUUUAUGAAGAUAGGAUCAGCGGAGUAAACUCGUAAUUGGUCCACGAUUAUCAGCAGUGCAAGAUGAUGUGUGUAACAGAUUGUGGCGAUGGAAGCACGGCAGUGCGAGGAGCGGGAUUUAAAAUGCGAGAUCCAACUGGCAAACUUCAGAAAACUAAAGGCUGUUCGGUCAGGGAAGACUUGGCCGUGGUCCGCAAUAUUACUCCUCCACGAGAUCCUGCGUUAUGUGAAUCAAGAAUACGCGAUCAACAUACAUGUCCAGCACCAAAAACCUCACGCAUAUGCAAACUCCUACAAGAACUUUAUCAUCAUGAACUUGUUUCGCAAAGAUUAUAUCCUUUUCUACAAUUUAAACAUAUAUUUAUAUUUUCUAGUUCUGAAAAGCGACGGCUUCCUUAUCUAUUGCUUUUGUGUGUACAAAACAGGCAGCGAUCAAACCAUAUCCAUCCACUGUCGAACGGAAGAUACAGGCCGUUAGAGAGCAAGUUAAUGCAGCCAUGCAAGAGUUAUCCAAACUGCGCGAAGCAAUCACGUACUGUGACGAACAAGCAGCUCUACUGCAUCAACAAAGAAAAGAUUUGACAGACGAAAUUAAGCAAGCCGAAGAGCAGCAUAAGUGUGAUCUGGAUUCUGCCAUGAAAGAAUAUAUCUUCUAUCGAAAAGAAGUUGAUUCCUUCCAUGAGGAGGCAGACGGAAGUGUUGUUGAUUUGGGACAAAUAUCUGCAGAAGUGGAACAAUGGAAAACGACCCGCAACCAAUGGAAAAGCGAUCAACUUGCCAUUGAACCGGAAUAUUACCGGUUAUCUGCCGAAUCCCAGCGAUUAGAAUGCAAACGGUCGUAUCUUGAUCGGGCACUGCUGCUAAUCGGCAAAUCUAUUGAACGAAUGGAACUGGCGAUCGGUUUGUGCGAAGAAGAGUAUAAUGAAAGUCCUAUUCAGAAAGGUGUCAACCAGGUAGAGCGCACUUGCCAGUGCAGUGCUUGAAAAAGGAUACUUGACAUUUCAGUUACAACGGCUUUGCCAAGCAGCUCUAUUGAGAAAAAGCCAACUGGACGAUGCCUUGACACAUCGUUACCUUGCCGAAGACGACUCCCACAAUAUGCGAAACGCCGUGGUGCAUGCCGAAAGGACUUACCCGGUAAAAGGUCUCAGUAAUACCGAUGCGUAUGCGAGCGUGGCGGAACAACAGUUGCAACUUGAUCGUACCAGUCUUCAGUUAAUACUCCAGCAAGCGGAAAUCGUGCAACUGACCGCUAAAGAGGAAAAGCUUUUGCAAAAAGUUGGUACUUAAAAGCGGAAAAGCUAAAAGUUGGUACAGAAAAGAGAGCCAAACUAGACAAACAACAAGUGGAUAUAAUAUUCAAGUUAGAUCCGGAAAGUGACUUCGCUGUAGAAGGCAGAAGGCUUCAUAACAAUUUGGAUACCGCAAUGGAUCGCUACGGGAGCCUCCAGGAUGAUAUAUUCAGAACCAAUAAUGACGUCCACCAAAACACCAUGGCGCUUCGAGAACGGGAGCACCACAUUGAGGAGGCGGAAAUAUACAUAACUUCUUUGAAAACUAAAAUACUGAAGGAGGAAGAACAAAUAGACAACAUAAAAAAGCGGACUACAGAAACAUUCCAGACAACGGUUACCGACUUACGACAACAAGUGCAGCAUUUGUUACGACAAGCCGAGCAAGAGUUCGAAUCUAACAAACCUUGCAAAUCAAUUUUGGAUUUGACGUAACGAAUAAAAUACUUACGUAAUAGGCAAAGUUAGUUCGAGGGCGCAAGUGAGUUCGUUCUCUGUACCGAUCAUUGAAUACUACACAAGUGCAUGCGACAGUUUUGACAACAUUACAUUUUUAAUGCGGUACAUAUGCUGGAGCCUAUUAUGGUCAUACGACUGCCAAAAUAAAUAUACAAGAUAAAAAGAAACCAGA